rnacentral:lncRNA from 1 species
AGAAGAAAGAGAAGAAGAGAGAGAAGAAGGGAGGAAAAGAAAACCAGAGAGAGAAGAAGGGAAGAGAGAGAAAAUACCUUGAAGGUAAGAGGGAUACCACUUUAAACUUUCUCUCUUCUCUCUCUCUCCCCCUAAAGAAGAACCCUGACCCAACUCGUGCUCUUCAAAAAGAAUUUUUAUUUUUCAAAAGAGUCUCUGUGAGUCCAAAAGAGAGUUCCAUUUACAAUGAGAGGUAACGUCUAUUUAUAGACUAGGGUUAAAACAUGGGUGGAUCACCCAAAACUAACCCUAAUUGAUGAUAUAUGAGGUUUAUUUGGUGUAAAAUGACUUAUUUGUCCCUUCCUAACAAUUGGAAAAAUUUUAAAACAGUCCUUGCUGAGAAUUAGGGAUGUUCUUGAUUCUUUUCGGACAAUCCAUUGAUGAUCUGGCAUCCGAAUGAACAAAAAAUGAUUGCCAUCAUACGGAUAUCGAUGCUAUGAUCAUUUUGAUAAUAAUUUUAAGCCACGAAUCACACUUUAAAGGCAUGAUCACCUAACUUGAAAUUUGAAUAGAUCUUGAAAGCUUUUGAUUUAUAGUGCGUCUUCAUCUUGAUGUUUUUCUUCGAUUUCUUUGCUAAAUUGCAUUGAUCAUGUCGUCACGAUCUCGUGACAACAAACGCAGCUCGAUUUUGUGCCUGGGUGAAUAUUUCACAACUUUGGAGUUUUGGCCAGAAUCUGAAAUUUCGGUGCAGGAAUUUAUAGUCACUUUAUUGGCUUCGUGUGUGAAAUCUGACUGUUUAUCAUGUACGGGGUUCGGAUAAGAGAUAGCCCAGAUCUUUACGCACACGUUGAAACUGGUCUCAUGUUAAAUCGAUGCGCGAGUGCCGUGACUUGGCCGCUCGAGCAAGGCGUAUCGCUGCUGAUUUUCCUGCAACACUCUUCACGGAUCAGAAACCUCUCUCUAGCUUUUCUUCCUACUUGGGGGUUGUUAAGGGGCGUGCCACAUAUUGAAAUGCUCGUCUUGACGAGACAAACAUGCUCACAAAAUUUGAGCGCGAUCCGACUCUGGACAAAUGAGAUAUGGACUCCGAAAGUCACUGCCUGAGGCUGCAAAAAUAGUCACCUUUAAUGGUGCUUUGGUACAGGGAGGCCACACGGGAAUCGUGUGCUACGUACCCCUUUUUGGUAUUUUACCCAUAACUUUGUUCUAGAGUGCCCGAUCAAGCCGAAAUUUGACCCUUGAGGGUUUUCAACUGUGCCGGAUCCGAUGGCGAUGGUCCCACAACUGUUUGACAUACCGAAAAUAUAAUUCUAGUAACAGGGGUCCCUUUCAUGGUGCUAGAGGCUGAUUCUACUGAAACUGUUUCUCAGUCUGCAUUGCCUUAGAUAUCAGAAUGCGAUGAAACUUGACAGGAGGCUUUUAGGAGUCUUUAUGAAGAUUUUGACCUGUUAUGGGGUCAUUAUGAGACUGUCAAAAUUUCCACUAUUCGUCAAGCUUUGUUGACCAACUUCUCUCUUUUAUUCCGCAUCGAGGAUCCAUGGUGCUGAAAAAUGUCUUCAAACAACAUGCCCUGUUGAAUGUUGUACUUUGAGAGAAGCGAGAAUGAUAACAUUCGAAAAAUUUCCUCUGGCUUUAUUUCUUUUUUCUUCCUAGCCACAGCACCACGUGAACGUUGAGGAGAUUCACGCAAUGCUAUAACUAGGAUGGUCAAACAUUGGGAUGCAAUGUACAGGUCCAUCCAUGGAGACUUUAGGAGGAGAAGAGACUUUGAGGGAUGUUGUCGCGGUCCUCACCCUCAUGGGACUUUAGGGGUUAGUUUUUAAUGUCUUCACCCUAUCAGAUGAGUUUAUGACAUGGAGAGAUUGUUAUUUACAGUCGACACCCUAUCAGAUAGUACCCUGAGGGUCAUAUUGUGUUUUUGAGGGAUCUUUUGUUCAUCGCCCUCACACUCUUUUUGAUUUCAAGGGAUCUUUUANNNNNNNNNNNNNNNNNNNNNNNNNNNNNNNNNNNNNNNNNNNNNNNNNNNNNNNNNNNNNNNNNNNNNNNNNNNNNNNNNNNNNNNNNNNNNNNNNNNNNNNNNNNNNNNNNNNNNNNNNNNNNNNNNNNNNNNNNNNNNNNNNNNNNNNNNNNNNNNNNNNNNNNNNNNNNNNNNNNNNNNNNNNNNNNNNNNNNNNNNNNNNNNNNNNNNNNNNNNNNNNNNNNNNNNNNNNNNNNNNNNNNNNNNNNNNNNNNNNNNNNNNNNNNNNNNNNNNNNNNNNNNNNNNNNNNNNNNNNNNNNNNNNNNNNNNNNNNNNNNNNNNNNNNNNNNNNNNNNNNNNNNNNNNNNNNNNNNNNNNNNNNNNNNNNNNNNNNNNNNNNNNNNNNNNNNNNNNNNNNNNNNNNNNNNNNNNNNNNNNNNNNNNNNNNNNGGAAUUUUGUUUUAUUUUGGAGGGAUCUUUCGGUCAUCGUCCUCACCCUCAAGGGCUCUUCUUGUUUUUGGAGGGAUCUCUCAGUCAUCGUCCUCACCCUCAAGGACUCUUCUUGCUUUUGGAGGGAUCUUUCAGUCGUCGUCCUCACCCUCAAGGACUCUCUUUGAUUUUGGUGUCUUGGAGAUCUUGUGAGGCUCUCACUCCCGGGUGAGCCAUCUUAUGUUGUGAUUGAAUCCUAACAGUUGAGGAUUUUAUGUGGACCUCGUUAGCCAGAAUUACACCUGUUUGGCAAUUAGGUGCCGACAGAGGUUAUGAUGCUGCGUCAACCUGCUUUAUUGGUCCAAGCGCUCUUUCUGGGUUUUCACCUGGACUGAGGAAGUGGCGCUGUAAAGACGGUUUUCACCAACCUCCUCUAUUUGUGGGUUCUUUUACCCAUGACCUUGCAGCUAUGUCCAUUCCCUUUCAUCCGUUUUUACUCACGACGCCCUUUCAAGUUUUCACCGUGCCGAGUUUUAUUUUUACAAAACUCUUUUACUCAUGGUUUCGUGACCAUGCUCAUCCGUCAUAUUUACUCAUGGCGUUCCCUUGUCUAGGUAUACACCAUGCCCGUCCGUCAUAUUUACUCAUGGCGUUCCCUUGUCUAGGUAUACACCAUGUUCGUUAUUUUCUCUUUUUUUUUUUUCUUGUGAAGGCGUGUUUAGGGGUCUAGCCUUCGGGACCUGUGUGAAGCCUUUUAAUGUCAUGUGGCCAGGACGUGCACUACAGUUUAAGGUCAUAAAGCUGGACCAUGGUGAUGAUACAUGGCAGUCUUUGGAGUCCAUGGAGUGAGCAUGGUGGUGAUUAUACUCACUUUGGGGAAAUGGGAGGUGGAUAGUGGUGACCCACUAGCUGACAGAGAAUAUGGAUGGUGGGAUGGUUCACCAUUAUGUGAGCAUGGGUGAGACUCACUGGGAAUGAUGAGUGGUAAUGGAGGAAGAUGGAUUUGCUGGGGAGGUGUUGAAGGUGAUGCGCGCACACGGAUGGGUCGGUUAGGGAUGACAUGUGUGAAGAUGCAUGUAAAGGGCAUCUGUACGUGUGUGAGGGAGCAUUUAAAGUCAUGUCUCCGGGACCUGUGCGAAGCCUUUCAAUAUCAUGCGACUAGGACCUGCACUAUAAUUUAAGGUCGUAUAGCUUGGACCGUAGUUUUGCAGUUUAAAGUCAUGCAACUAUGACCAUAUAGUUUAAGGUCGUGCAACUACACCUCUGCUAUAGUUUAAGGUCAUAUAGUUUGAACCAUGGUGCUAAACCUUUAACGUCAUGCGGCCAGGACGUGCACUAUACCGUUGGGUCAUAUAGUUUGGACCAUGGUUGUGCAGUUUAAAGUGGACCAUGCAGUUUAAGGUUGUACAACUAGACCUCCGCUAUCGUUUAAGGUCAUAUAGUUUCGACCAUGCGGUUUAGGGUCAUGCAUUUAGAUCAUGGCUAUGCAGUUUAAGGUCAUACAACACAAACCAUGGCUGUAUAGUUUAAGGUCAUGCAACACAGACCAUUGUGUGGGUCGCCGUGUAAGUAAUGCUCCGUGGGGGGAUAAAGUAGCUUGGUGAGAAGCGGAUCCACUGGGGAUUUAUGGGGUAAAUAUGACUCCACGGGGAUAAUGAGCAAUGAUAUGCAUGUAACUCUACUGAGAAUGGCAGACUAGAGCACAUAUAAUGGGGAUUGAAGAGAUAAGAAUGACCCUAAUUCCACUGGGGAUAAUGGUUUGCAAUACGGAUGUGACUCCUACUGGGGAUGGGGGACAGUGGUUUGUAUGUAGCUCCACUGGGAAUGAUAGUCCGGAGCACAUGUGUAACCCCAUUGGGGAUAGUGGUAGAAUACAUUCGGUGGAGAGGUGUGUCCAUUUCACAGUUUAAAGCCAUGCACAUGGACUAUUUGUCGUGCGGUUUAAUGUCUUGCUACAGGGACGUGCGUUAUAGUUUUAAGGUCUUGUAGCUCGAACCAUGGCUAUGUAGUUUAGUCAUGCGGCUAAGACCAUGCAGUUUAAGGUCGUGUAACUAGACCUCCGUUACAGUUUAAGGUCAUAUAGUUUGGACCACAACUGUGCAAUUUAAAGUCAUGUAGCUAGGACCAUGUAAUUUAAGGUCGUGCAACUAGACCUCCGCUACAGUUUAAGGUCUUAUAGUUUGGACCAUGUAGUUUAGGGUCGUGCACCUAGACCGUAAUGUGGUAAGCGAAUGUGAUUCUAUGGGGAACAAACCGUGACUAAAGACUUGACUCCCGAAGAUUAUGAUGGCUGUGGUGUAGAGAAUGAACUCCCUAGGGACGUAGAACGAUGGUCCAGAUGAGAGUGCCAUAGCAUGCGCACAGUGCUAAACCCUUGAUGAAGCGCAUGCAGCAUUAGGCCUCUGGUGAGGCGCAUGACGUUAGCAUUUGGUGAAGCUCACAAUGAUAGCUUUUUGUGAAACACACAACGAUGCUUCUUGUGAAGAGCACGACGAUAGCUUCUGGUGAAGUGCACGACGAUAGCUUCUGGUGAAGCGCACAACGAUAGCUUUUGGUGAAGCGUACAACGAUAGCUUUUGGUGAAGCGCACAAUGUGAAGAGCACGACGAUAGCUUUUGGUGAAGCACACGACGAUAGCUUUUGGUGAAGCGCACAACGAUAGCUUUUGGUGAAGCGCACAACGAUAGCUUCUUCAGUAAAGAACGUGGUGCCAAGCCUUAGAGAAGCGCACGACGUUAGCAUCACAUGGUGUUAAGGCAUAGCGAUAGCAACAGACUGCAGCAGGCUCAUGAGGCAUAGGUGACAAUGACUCGCAUUCGGGCCUCAGGCUUGACUCACCCCAGUCUGGACUUAUCGGUGUCUGAAGAAGAGGAUUGGAGCGUCAUUUCGAGCUUGUGAAGGGUACUUUGUGUAGACCUCGUCAAUAAAAGGAGGUAAAACCCCAUUUUACUGUUUUACCUUCGGUAAAACAGUGAAGAGAGCUUUCGUUAAGCGACUUCCGACGAGAAACCUCCAGCUAGGCCACAAGGCACAAUCAUUUAGGAGUUCUACGGUGAACUUCAACAAAUUGUGAACCUUCGUAGACAGCUUGCAAAUGUUUUGAGAGAGUACCUAAGCCUCUUGAACAGAGGCUUUACAGAGAUUCACCAUGAUUUUUCCAGUGGAGAACAAUAGUCAUUGAAGCUAUUACAAGGGAAAAAUUGGUUCCAUCAGGUUGCGCAGGGACUUCUUGGUGGACUUCUGGCAGUCUUGCGGUCACCAGUAGGGAAGGAGAAGGCACAUUGGCUUUGGGGGAACAGACCAGGGAACUCUGGUGAUUUUCCUAAUGGUCUUGCGGUCACUGACCUGUUGCAAAGCCCUCGGAGACACCAGGGAGGUAAACGGGGACUGCUGGCACUUGUCAGGGCUUUCCGGUGAUUUCUCGGUAUUCUCGACCAUCAGUAAGGGGAAAGAACAUGGUCAGAAGGGGGUCCCCGAUGAAUGGAGAAGUGUUUUCGGCAAGAAUAGGAAACACUAGUAGGGGCCUGAAAGGUCAUAAGUCUGUAACGGUCGGGGAGGCAAAGGGCCGUGAGAUGGUGAAUGGUCACGUUCCGCACGCACGGUGACAGGCCACGUCAAGAGUGUCAAACGACGUGCCCAAAUUUCGAGGGACAUGGUGUGCCGCACGUGGGAUGCAUGCGAACAACUUAAGCGUAGCCGAUGUUAGAUGCAGAGGGUGAUAGCCCACGUUUCCUCGCAUCAGGCGCACUAUGUCUUGGUUCUCACACAGUGCUAUUGCUUUACUUUGACUGACAGCGAUAGCCCCUCUAGUCGUGAGACAACGAUAGUCCUACCUUUUACGCACGGUGAUAACCUCUUUAGUCGUGCGAUGGCAAUAGCCCAGCCUCCUUCGCACAACGAUAAUCUCGCCUUCUGUGCACAACGAUAAUCUCACCUUCUGCGCAUGGCGAUAGCCUUUAUAAGAGCAGUUAGUGUUACUCCUUAAGUGACCAGCCGGUGAUACACCCUUGUGAAUGCAGUCGGUGCUACGCCUUAGCGUUUUGUAGACAGCCUUACGCAGCCCCUUAGUGACUUGCGCGCGGCAGUGAAGCCUUUACUCUAGGUUCAUGGCCCAUCCUUUAGGAGCCAUUCCUGAUGUGAAGAACCUCCCACGAGUAGGGGAGCUUGGCAUCAAUAAUUUCACUAGCGAAAGCUUGGUGAGGGGUGAGCCAAUCUGGCUCACCGAGUCUUUGUGUGAAUCAAGGUGGCCUUUGAGCAUCACCUUUAUUAGUGACCCACCCGCUAUGAGGUUAGAGAAGACAACGAUGAGAAUGUAAGAGUAGAAGAAGGGGUAGGCCUUUUCCAUUGUUUGCACAGGAACAUAGCCUCAAGCGAGGACUUGUUGACCCGUGGCAAGAGGAUGGUGAAGACCCCAGGCUUGAAGUUGUCUUUUGCUGGUCUCCGAAUGCAAGGGGAGCACCAGUACCUGAAAGGGUACUCUUCCUAGACCAUAAGAGUGCUGAACUAACACCAAGCCAUUCUGAAGCGCGCUUCCCUGCUAGUUUCCAUUCAGUGUUCGGCAAGAUACUAUGACAGUUGUUCAAACGCGAUCAAGGUGCUAUUGGAAACCUGAAGCCAUGUUAGUAACACAUGGAUGCUUGGUCAUGGGGAAGCAGGAAUAUCUCUAUUAGACAUGUACUUCAUCAGUUGGCUCCCACUCAUUGGCACUAUGUAUGACGAGUUCGUGCCCCUGAACUUGGUCAUUUUUGGAGGAGAACGGGGGGAAAGAAGACCUGUCAACUGGACUACAAGAGUUAUUUGGGGUUUACCAGUUUCUCUGCUCUGAGUCCAAGCAUGGACGCAUCUCCUUCAUUGAGUGGGUGGCAUUCUUCUAUGGAGACAGCAAUGAUGAGGUAGGUCCAAGCCCAAGAAAAAAGGGGAAGGCAUCCAUGAAGGGAACCCCUCCAGUAUUUAAACUUCACAGUGGGAACGACCACAUAUUCUUGGCGGCGUACUUGGUACUCUUUCUGUGUAAGUUUGUUCUUCCCGGAGGAGUAGACACUAUACGUCCAGGCAUGUUCUAUGUAGCCUGUGACAUGGCAAGGGGGUGAGAGUACGCGCUCACACAGCCAGUCUUAUGCAGCAUCUACUACAACUUGGGAGCCGUGUCCAAGUGAAAAGUCUAUCAAGGCGAUGAAGGAGGGAAUGGCAUAGUGGAAAGCAAAGCCUUCCCAAGGGACUUGAAGACGCCGUUCCCCCUCCACUAUGUAUGUGGCUGGCUUGAGGCUUAUUUCCCUAACACCUACCUCAAAAAUAGGGUGUUGGAGGAAACAAUGUGCUCGUUUCUCCUGAAGAUUGUUGGGUAGAAAGCAAUCUUCCAUACUCUUGGUCAUGUACGUAGCUUGUUCUACAAUGACCACCUUCAUAUGGGUAGACCCACUUUCCCGUCGGAAACCUCACAAAUCGCUCUUUUGCCAAUGAGCUGGGUAAGAGGUUGAAUGGUGCUUCUACCACUCAUAAGGAGCUGAUGGUCAUGUUGAGUGUUAGAGGCAGGGUGCUACCUUACCGCAUCAUCCACACUGCCAAGCUUGAGGGGUAUUUCCCUCAUCGAUUUUCCCGAUAGCACAAGAUAGACCAGGGGUGCCCAUUUUUGAUAUUCUUUGAGAAGAGGUACAACAAAAUAGCUAGCAGAAAGAGAGAUCAGCUGGGGACCCAUCGUGAGACCUGGCUCCCAAGGCACAUUCCCACAGCUUGGGCGACGUUCUUGGAGUUCACCGAGAUCAACAAGUAGGUGCUGCCAUAUUUUUGUAGAACAGUGCGAGCGACUGUGACCCAUGAACGUUGGUGGCAGAUCACCAGUAAGGGGUAUUGGGAAGCCAGCCACCCUUGGAAAGGGGAUAACUCCCAAUGAAGCUAGGACAGGCGGUAGAGGAAGAUGGCGAGGACUCAUCCAUUGGAGGAGAUAUUCACCAUGGGCUUCCCCUAGAAUUGGCGCGACAUUGGGUGGCCCCGCCAAAUUUUCGUGGACAAGUCUCUAUCAUGGUUUCUUGAUUUGGAGAAGAAGACAGAGAGCAUCUUUGACAACCUCUCUGCUAUUUUCAAGUGGAAGGAGGGCCACAAGGUUCUGGGGUAUGAAGAGCGUCUGGUUCAAGACUUGAACAAGCUGAUAGGGAGCGGCCCUCACAACAAACUUGUCGCUGGCUCUCCUCGAAGGGUGCUUCUGAGACUGCUAUGCCUUCUCAAGCGAAGGGGAAGAAGAGGAAGUGGGCUGCCCCAACCAUUCCUCGUGCACCAACUCGUCAUGCCACACAGGCUCUGUAGCGUAUGGGGUUCAAACGUCUAGUGGUUCGGGAGCCAAAAUAUGGUUCUUCGCCGGCUGCUUUCUCAAAGUUCUAUGUGUCUCCGGUGGUCUUUGAUUCACCCUCGGCUCUGGAGGAUUCAACUUCUCUUUCACCUGAGCCUUCUUUUGGCUCUUCAGAAGUUCCAGCAAGUGAGGGAGAGGGUCAAGUCCCAAUGGAUAUCAAUGGGGCUGGCGAUGCAAGCCUUGAGGGGGCUACUCAAGGUGACGAAGUUGCUGCACCUACUGAAGCAGAGGAUGCAGUCAUGAAAAGGGCAACCCCAAGCUCUAUUCAGGAGAGAGUACCUGUGGUGAUAGAUGAGGUUCAGGCUCAGGGAUUGCAAAAGAGCUACCCAAACGGUAGGAAGGGGCCAAAGAACCGAGAAAUCUUUAAGGGGAUAACCUCGAGGGCUCAGAGGUGGUACUCCUGGCAAUCGAAGAGGCGGGCCCUGUGGAAGAGCCUGUAGUUGAAAUAGUUGCCUUGAUGCACAAGGGAAAAGAAGGAGAGGGGAUUAACGUCGCACCUGCUGAGGCAAAGGUGGGAGUUCAAGGAGAGAGGGAGUAGGAAGAAGACACUGCUCCAGGAGAGAAGACUAUCAUAGAUGAGAUAGUAGCUGUAGGUGGGGAGGUCGCCCUUGCCCUGACUAAGGCUGCGACACAUAUAGAGGGCGAAGCUGCAACACCUGAACAUGAGAGGGUCAAGCCGGAAGAGGCCAUGGGGGCAGAUUUGAGCAAAAGGGAUGAUGUUGAGAGACCAGGGCAGCCUGAGGUUGCCCCUGAAUCUAGGGAGCCUGAGGCCUUGGCUGCAGCUAGGGAUUCUCUUGCUGUAGCUACAUCUGCUGCGCUGCCUAGACCCAUCCUCAAUGGAAUGCCUGGAAUUACCAUGGAGAUGCUUCGGGUUGGCUUUCGAAAGCUGAAGGAGCUACCCUUGGCCUAGCUUGGCAACGCGCUCACGCAAUUGAAGCAGCUCGCCCAAGGUUCGCACCCAAGGCCGUCCCCUACUUUGAUAGCAUUGUGAACAAGUUGGAGGGAUGGAGGGUAAAGCUCUGUAGGAGGAAGAGACUGCAACACGGUUAAGAGUCUCCCUGUUAGAGUCCAUGGAAGCCUCACUGGCACACAGCCAUGAAUUGGCGAAGGCCCAGCUACAAGAGAGGGAGGCCACUGUCUUUCAUAGGUCCGCUCUUGCUGAGGAGGCCAUAACACGCCACAUCAGGGUAAUGACCUUGAAGGCGAAAAUAGCCCAAUGGGCGUGGGAACUUGAAACGCUGGAGAAGGAGAUGACAGCCUGGGAGGCUGAGGAUAGGGAGCUAGACCAGAAACUGCUUGACCGCGAAUACUCCUUGGGCAAAAAGUUGUCUUUGGUGGAGCAUGAGGCCGGGCUGGUGGCCGAACUGAGUGGAGACAUCCAGCGAGUGAGGGCAUCAACCGAAGAGUGUCAGGGAAGGGUCAAUGAGUUCAUUGACCGUUUAUGAUCAUGACUUCUUCCUCUUUUCUUUCCAUUUCUUCUUUAGUAAAGAAAAUAACACUUGUAAUACCCCCUUGAUUUAUGAAUGAAAUAGCUCUUUUCUCUUCUGUGCGAUGUGUGUCUUUACCCUUUCCCUUCUUUUUCAUUGCUUCUGUCCUUUCAUAGUGUGAAAUGAAAAAGGAUAGCCCACUCCUUGUUUUGUCUUAUGACACCAUGCUGUGGCUUCAAUGAUCUCAAAUGGGGGAGCAGUUGCUUCCUCACCCCUUAGCAUUUGAUUGGACAUGGGCUCAUAAUUCAUGGUUCUCAUGAUUUGGUGAGCUUGUUCGUCUCAUGAUUUGGUGAGCCUGUUCGCUAUAAAUACUCCAAUCUAGAGGUGCUUUGGCUUCGCUUCGGGGUGCAUUGCUCUUGAGAUCAUCAUAGGUCUUGGUCUCAGGGAUGAACUCCUUUAAGUGCUUUGACGCGAUGCGCAUAACCUCCAACUGAUUCUGAAGGUUACUAACCUCGCUUCUCAGCUCUGCCAUGGGGCCUUGUUAUUUAGAGCCAGAGGGCUGACUCUUGUCUACCUGUCCUUCUCCGAGAGCAUCUGAGAAGUGUAAUACCUUCUUUUGGCUGUUGGUGAUCUCCUUGUUCAAGGAGGAUGGGAUUUGGAGUGCCUUCUUUAGUGGUUGGUAUGUCAGUUCUGCUUCUAGGAGAGCAAUGGGGAUAUGCAGGAAUUUUUGCUGGUCCAGCGUGUAGGUGACCCUCGGUGCUGGAAGGUCUACCUCUAAGGCUUUCUCAGCCUCAAGUGUUGCGUCUAGCUUGUUAUUUUGUUCUUGCAAAUUAGAAGUGGAGGUAGAGGGGGAAGCUUCAUCUUCGGGGGAUGACACCAUGACCUCAGAGCAACGGCAAGGUAUACUUGGGUGAAUAGAAGUCAAGGGGAGGAACUUGCAUUGUCUUUCCUCCUCUUUGAACAUGUCCAUAAUCAUUCGCCCAAGGUCUUCGACAUCAUCAUGAGACAGGGGUCCUGUCUCUCUCACAGACUUCCAAUGACCUUUAUGGUGCUGCAAGGUCUGUGAAAUAGUACUUAGCAUCAGCAUAGUGAGUCUCAGCUAUGAGGAACGGUCUCUUAUUAGCAUAGACCAUGUGCUGUCUCCCUUUUCGAUUGUAUUUGAAGCAUUGGUGGAGCAUGGAAGGAACCACCCCCUGAUCGUGAAGCCAAGGGCGACUGAGCAGGACAUUGUAAGAUGUAUCAAUGUUGAUUACAUGAAAUUGAGCAUAAUCGUUUAGGUCACCGAUCUUGAGGAAAAGACGAACUGUCCCAAUCAUAUUUUCUCCUUAUUGGUUGAACCCUUGCAUGGUGAUGUGGGUAGGAGUAGGGUUUCCAGAUUCUAAUCCCAAUCGAGUGAGGAUCCUUCUCGGGAUCAGGUUGACUGAUGACCCUCCAUCCAGCAUAAUUUGAUUGAUAGGGCAGGCAUGUAAUUCACCAUCCACGAAGAGGGGAUGAUUGUGAAAUUUGCCUCCCAACUGAAGGUCAUCUUCAGAAAAGGUGUUCGCCAAGCACCCACCCAAUAUGGCUGGGUCUACCUCGAUAUGCUCCACUUCAGUCUCAUACAUCUCUGGGUUAGAAAGGGCUUGAACCAGGGCCAUACGGGAGUCUCUGGACAACAUAAGGGCAUCAUAGAUACUUAGAAGGGCUGGAAGAUUUUUCAAAUGCCCAACUACAUCAUAUUUCACCUUAUCUCAUCAGCCUUGUGCGCUCCUGAUCUUGUCACUUGUUUAGGUGGUAGGGUAGGUUUAGGAGCAGGAUUCGGUUUGUGACACCAGCUGAUUUUGUUGUUUGGCCGGUGCAGUUUGGGCUGAUCGAGAAGUAAUAGGGAUUUAUAAUAGGGAUGUGGAGGUUUGAGGUUGAGGCUUGGGGAAAAGUGAAGGAUCAGGAAACUUGAGGACCUUGAGUUUUUGAGGUGUGGGCUGUAGCUUCUUCCCUGAAUUUAGGCUCAUUUGCCCCGUGCUGGAUGAUAUUUCUGAGAUUUGCACCACAUGGGAGGCAUCCUUGAGAUAGGAGCUUGAACAUGGCUCAAAUUUGGCUCGAGUAGUCAGGGCAUAAGCAACGGUCAAGAAUUUAACCGCCUGGGCCAACAUCUUUCUUAGGCGCUUUCGAUGCUACCUGCUGAUGUUGAUACCUUUGAGUUCUCUGUUUAGAGCGUCGAAGUCUGGGCACUGUCGAACCGUACAUGUGAAAGAAAUAAAAGAAGAGGGAGGAGAAGAAGAAGAAGCGGAGUUAGAGUGGCAUGGGCAGCUUUUUAUGUCAUCACCAGAAUUGGAUGUGUGCAGGGGGUGUUUUAGGUCUUACCCUGGCUAAGACCGUUGGGAGAUACUUUUAUCGUCAUCACCCAUAUGGGAUGAGUCUUGAGCAGUUGAUGACUCACGACAGUCCAUCUGAUUAGAUGAAGGAUAAGGCGAGUUGCGCCUGGGAUGAAGUCUUGUAAGGUCGGUAGUGGAGGAAGGGGCUUGAGAAAUUCUUCCUCGAUUGGUGGCUGAGGAAUAUGAUUCCUUUGGCAAGUUGACCUGGGUUCUUGUCUCCUUUUGGAUCCCUUGGGAGGUGUUUGAUCUGUCCUAUCAAGUUGAUGAGUAGCCCUGGCUUAAGGACUGCCUCACGCUUCAAGGAUUUGAGCCUGCUUCGCUCAUGGUAGACUUCCCAUGGUUGAGAAGUUGAGGGCUCUGAAGGGUCUAAGGUAUCCUCAUAAAGGACUUGUAGUGGGAUUUCUUCCUGGAUGGGAGUGAUGGCUUGGAAGCGUUCUGAGAGAACGGCGCAAACAAUGUGGCCUUUCUGUACCUUCUCCACGACUACAGCUUUGAACCUAGAGUAUUCUCUCAACUCAUGGCCCCAUAGCUGGUGAUAUGGGCACCAGAGAUUUUUUGUAACCUGGGCAAGACUCCUAGGUUGCUUGGCGAGUUUGGGAGUGACGAGACCCUGUUCAAGCAUCGCUUCGAAGAGGCUCUUGAGAGGGUCUAGUGCACUUCCCUGGGCUUGUGGCAAGAGGUCUUCUUGCACUGGUGGAGAAGGGACUUGAGGGUGUCCUUCUGGGUUUCCAUGAACUUCUUGGUGCUGCUGCAUCUUCCUUACUACGAGCUCAUAGAAGCUAGUGCAUUCACUCAGUUCAUAGCCUCGUAUCAGAUGAUACAUACACUAGAGGUUCUCAGUCCUUGGAGGCUUGAACUUAGGCUGACUUGUCGGCUUCUGCCUGACAAGACCUUCUUCGAGCAUUACAAAGAAUAAUGCACAGAGGAGAGCAGAUGCCUCAUCAUCCUCUUAGAUGGUGACUAUGUGGUAAGCCUCAGUUGCCCCAAAUUCUUUCUUUAGCUCUUCGAGCUUUAUCCGGCCCUUGUUAAUAAGGGCUUUGAUGAUGUCUUUGACCGUAUAGCACUCUUGAGUGGGUGGCCUACUCUCCGGUGAUAUGUGCAGUAUCUCUCGUUUGUCUCCUGUCCAGCCUGCUUUGGGGAUUUGGCCUCCAGCAGCUGGAUCAUGUUUUGCUCUAGUAAUAACAGAAGCAGUGCAGGAACCCACUCUUUGUUGAAGGGGUACACUUUGUUCUGGUGUUGGAUCCAGUUGUCACUUCGAUUUAUAUUGUUAAGGGGCGGGACCUUGUUAUAGGACUGCUGCUGCUUGCCUCCAGGCUAAGGUGUCUUUGCCUUGGUUGUGACUAACCCUUUGGAGAGGUUCAAGGUUUGAGGGGCGGUGGUUUUCUUAGUGUCAGUCACGGUGACAGCCGCUAAUCACCCCUUUUUGCUGGCUGCCCUGAUUAUUAGAGCUAGCAUUUCCACUGCCCCGGCCGUUUCCCGAGCUAGAGGGCUGCUGGUGAGAUCCACCAUGGUGUUUGGACAAAACUUCUAUACGAAUCGCUUUAGAGGUGAGUUCUGACAUGGAGGGUGGAUUGGAGGCCUCAACAUGCAGAGCGAUCUCAGGCAGCAUAUUUCAUAUGCAGAUCUGAACUGUUGCUCUUUCAGUCAUGGUAGUGGCAUGAUAGGUUGCCAACUCUCUCCAUUGGGCGAUGAACUUAUCAACUGACUCACUAGGCUCUUGAGUCAGAGUGAGGAGCUUGAUGGUUUCCACAUUUUUUUAGACUUCAUAGAAGCGCUGGUAAAACAAUUGCUCCAUUUCCUGCCAUGUGUGCACCGAGCUUGAAGGUAGCCGAGCAUACCACUAGAAGGCUGGCCCAUCGAGAGACUCAACAAACUGAUGGAGGAGGAGUCCCUGUUAGCUGCCGUCUCUCGACAAGCCGCUUGGAAGUGAGCAGUAUGAUUUUGUGCGGAUGUAUUACCAUUGACCAGGGGGAGCUUCCCCUUUUGAUAGUGUGGGGGAAAUGAUACUUGGUCGAUAUAUGAGGGGUACGGAUUUUGGUAAAGCGGCGCCCCUUGCAUGCCCGAAAUCUUACUCUUGAGACUGCGGGUCACCAUGGCAUCUACAUCAGCUUAUGAAACCAUGCGGGGAGUAGAGUUGUCUUGGGAGGCCGGUGGGGGAGUUUGCCUGGGAGUAUUGUCCUCUCCAGGCUGGGAGUUGUCCUCAUGGUGAGGAGGAGAAGCAGCGGGCCUGGAGGCCUCCAGGCGAUCCAUCUUUUCAAGAAUGGACUGCAUCAUCACCUCGAACUUGUUCAUCCGCUCUUCUUGGGAGUCACCUGGCCCGUUGAUUAGCAUGACGCUGACCGUUUCUUCUGGAUGGUCAGAGCCAGGUGGAGUAGUGGACUGCUGGCGUUGGCGAGUCAUACAUGGCAAGUCAGUCUGCAAGGGCUUAGCAUGCCCCGAAUUGACUCGAGUCUUGUACGCCGACCAUAUGAGGACCUAUUCUUAACGAUCUUGGGACUAUGACUUCUUGCUAGCUUGGUCUUUUAUUGUGAUGGCAACCACCGAGCAGUAUUCUUGGAGUUCUUGCUCAGGUUAUGGAAUCCGAAGAGGGAAGAAGGGAUUGUGAGGCAAGAGGUCAUCAAGAGUGGUAACCUGAACUGCCUUAGGGGCCAUUUUAGUCAGGAGCUGCAGGCCUCUCUUUUGCUUGAUCUUGAGGCUGCAAUAGUUUUCACCCCAAAAUUGAGCCUGAGAUUUGGACUGCCUUGUCUUUCUUAAGCAUGCGAGGGCUGUGUCCAUCAGCUGGAGCAGAGAGAGGUCCAAGGAUGGAGGGCAAUCUGGGCUGCUGCCUUGGAGUCUGCAGGCUUCUAUCUGCCAUCAGGGCUUUGCCCCGAAUUCCCUUGUGAGGUCCGGGUGCAUGGCUGACCUGAGGUGCCUGACUUAAGAUGGUACUCUUAGGGAAAACCUUUGAGUACCAAGUCUCGAGGUGUUUGCCCGGAAAAAGAAGGGUAACAGAAGAAGGAACUAGCACGCGAGUCCACCUGAGUAGGGAUCGAGGAGGAAGCUGUGAAGCUGGUGCGUGUGCACCUUUGGAGGCAGCCCUCCGGGUGACUUGGGGGUCAGCCUUGGCUUAGUCAGCUGGCUCGACCUUAGAGGCCGAGACCUAUUAGCUCGUGCUUGUGAGGGACAGGGUAGGGCCUUAUAUCUCAUAAGGUAGGGAGGAAGAAGUGGCUGACCCUGAGCUAUGGGAUGCAGAUGCAUGACACGUGCAGGGUUCGGCUCGAGAAGGCCUAGCCUUGGACGCAAGCUCAAGCCAGCAUGAAAGUUGCCCCGAGGUAUGGCUCGAGUGGACGGACCACGAACCUUUAGGUGUGUGUGAGAGGUGGAGGCCCCAGGAUCUCCUCCUCGGUGUGUCGAGCCUCUAGGCAUAGAGGUUCAAGGUGGUGAAGGACUAUGGGGGGUGGCCUUGUGGCGACCCUCAAGAGCGAUGGCAACCUGCUUGCCUUUCGCGAAAGUGGACAUGGCAGCCUUUCGACGUACCUUAGCAAUAUGACCGACAAGGGACUUACCAGUAGCAGGGUGUGUGCUGUAGGUGGUAGCAAACGUGCUACCAAUGCGAAGGGCUUUGGUGGAGGGUCCACCAAGACUAGAAAGUGGGGAGUUAGGGACCUUCAAGUCCCUUCUCAGACCAAUCCAGGAAAGAACCUUUGGAGUCGGACUGUGAGUCUUGAAUCAAAAGGAAUGUAGGGAACGAGGCUUGAGAAGCUUGCUUCCCUGGGACGGUCACGAGUGCGAGGAUGAGAAAAUCCAAACCUCGGAUGAACGGAACCUAGAUGCCAUGGAAUGCAAUGCAGAAAAUAAAAGGUGAUACUGAUCAAGCAAAAGCAAACCGACAUAAGGGUAGUAAGUCCCCAGUGGAGUCGCCAAACUGGUCGGAUGCCUUGAUCUUGCCUCCCCGGAUCUAGGUGAUCGGAUGACAUGUGUCUAGGGUUCGAAAGACCCAGGACUUGAGACUGCUCUCUCGGGAACCUUGUUCACAAAACAAGGGUAGUGCCCAAUUGGUGAGAGAAGAAUUUAAAACACUAGGUGGGGACCAACCCCACCUGGGUCUGUGACUUACUCGGGCUGACUUGUGCGGGCACCCUCUUAGAUCACGACGAAAAUCCCCCCAGCUGGUUCGAAAUUGCCUCCCUUGACCUGCAAUGCCUACAGACGCUGAUAGGCAUCGCCGCGACCCUUCGCGGGCAGCGAUAGGUACAGGGCACAAGAGAAGCCUACAGACGAUGAUAGGCAUUGCUGCAACCCUUCACGGGCGGCGAUAGGCAUUGUUGCAACCCUUCACGGGCGGCGAUAGGCAUCGCCGUCAGCGAUAGGCAUAUGAUGCAAGAAAAGCCUGCAGAUGGCAAUAUGCAUCACCGUCUACAAUAGGCACAAGGCGCAAGAGAAGCCUGCGGACAGUGUUACGAAUUGCCGUUUGUGAUAGAUGUGAAGCAUGGGUGAGACCCCAGCGGGCUGCAAUAGGCGUUGCCGUCUGUGACCCGUAAGAGGAAAGAGAGAUAGUCUGCGGUUAGCGAUACACAAUGCUGCGCAUGACGCCAAUCUUGGAACUGAAACAGGAGCCCAACCUACUGCUUGAGCGAAGCUAGGCUCACCGUGUGCCCCUUCAGAUGGCGUUACGCACAAUGACUACUAACAUUGUGCACGAACCAUAUUGAAGAAAAGGAACAAACGAAGAGAGAGAGAGAGCAGCUCGUGCAUGUGCUGCCAUUGCCACGCACGACCUGCGAAGUCACAGGAGGAGGAAGAAAGAAAGAGGCAUGCACUGCACUGCCACUUCUGUGCAUGGCUUUUGAGAAAGACUCAGCAGAGAAGAUGAAGAAGAAAGAGAAGAAGAGAGAGAAGAAGAGAGGAAAAGAAAACCAGAGAGAGAAGAAGGGAAGAGAGAAAAUACCUUGAAGGUAGGAGGGGUACCGCUCUAAACUUUCUGUCUCCUCUCUCUCUCUCUCUCCAAAGAAGAAACUUGACCUAACUCGUGCUUUUCAAAAAGAAUUUUUAUUCAUCAAAAGAGUCUCUGUGAGUCCAAAAUAGAGCUCCAUUUACAAUGAGAGGUAGCAUCUAUUUAUUGACUAGGGUUAAAACGUGGGUGGAUCUCCCAAUACUAACCCUAAUUGAUGAUAAUUAAGGUUUAUUUGAAUUAAAAAAAAAAGAAAAU